rnacentral:rRNA from 1 species
CCUCAGAUGGCCCCUUCCAGGUCCUCCGACUCGCGACCCUCAGUCAGCGCGAUACCCACGUGC